GCUGGGCAUGGUGGUGCACGCCUGUAAUCCCAGAAAACCUGGAGGCUGAGGCAGGAGGAUCACUGCCUCAGGAGUUCAAGGCAGGCCUCAGCAACUCAGCGAGACCGUGUCUCAA
rnacentral:sRNA from 1 species